rnacentral:tRNA from 1 species
GCCACCCUAGCUCAGUGGUAGAGCAACCGCCUCGUAAGCGGUAGGUCGACGGUUCAAAUCCGUCGGGUGGCU